AUUGAACGCUAGCGGGAUGCCUUACACAUGCAAGUCGAACGGAGUUGCGAACGGGUGUGUAAUGUAUCGGCACGUGCCCAGUAGCGGGGGAUAACUACGCGAACGCGUAGCUAAUACCGCAUACUCUUGGAUCUGCCGUUAUCGGAUUAGCUAGUUGGUGGGGUAACGGCGCACCAAGGCGACGAUCCGUAGCUGGUUUGAGAGGACGACCAGCCACACUGGGACAGAGACACGGUCCACACGCCUACGGGAGGCAGCAGUGGGGAAUUUUGGUCAACGGGGGAAACCCUGAUCCAGCCAUCCGGCGUGUGGUAUGAAGGCCUUCGGGUCGUAAAGCACUUUGGGAAGGAAGGCGGUACCUGCAGAAUAAGCACCGGCUAACUACGUGCCAGCCGCCGCGGUAAUUC
rnacentral:rRNA from 1 species